CCCCUCUCAGGGUCACAGCUGGAGAGUUUCCAGUACUCUACCAGUCUCGACUAUGGGAGGGAGAGUCAAACAGAGGCUAUAUCCAUUCCAUUUCUAGCUUGAGCAGUGGCUAGCGAAUGGAGAGCAAUCUGCUACAACU
rnacentral:snoRNA from 2 species